GGUACUAUGGCGAAGGCCUGCUCAUGAAUAAUAACUAUUUUAUACUGACGUUACAGGACAGUGAGAGUGGAGAUUGUCCCAGCUUCCACUCCCUUUGUCAUUUGACAUUCAUCUGAAGAUGUGGGUGAAUUGUCUUGAGAAUCUGUAUGCAAAGGGACCGAAAGCCUGAAAAAGUCUCAACGGUGGCGAUGUUCCAGUAAAUUAGCUCCAGGGAAACUCAGAAGGGAGCGGGCAAAGCCAGGCAUCAUUAGCAGAAAGCGUGUUUGGGGAGCACUGGUCUCUACUGAGAAUGAAGAGCCAGACGUGCUCCUUUAGGAGCCUGUGAGAUCUGUGUUUUUCUCUCACUGUGAUGGAAAGUGAUCAAGGCAACAGGUCCCAGGAGAGGUAACGUCUAGUGAUGGUCACAUCCUCGACAGGAUCACUCGCUGCUGAGGAGACAUGUUUAGGACGUGUGCUCUUAUUAAAAGUGUAACUGAAAACUGUGUUGUCUGAUGCCCAGUAUUUCUGGGUGUUUGAGCCAAUAGAGCCUGCGCCAGCUGUUUACAUAUGCAUAUCAAUAAUGCAGCAGAGGACACUAUGAAUAAUAACUUAAUUUUGAAAUUUUUGCUCUCUUUUUUUCUAGAUCUCUAGAGCAAGCAUCCAUAUGCAAUUUGAAAAAAAACUGCUAACCUUAAGUAUUAAAUUUGGCAUCUCAUGUUCUUGGCACAAACAUACUUUUUUGUAAUUGUUUUAUUUUAUUUUGUUUUGUUUUGUUUUAAUUUGUUAGUAGAGACCUUUUUUUUUUAAUCUAUGUAUGUAUGUAUUUAAGUUAUGGAUUUUCAUUUAUGGUGAACAAAUUUAGAGUGA